UCCACCACGAGCUGGUAUAUGAGGCCAUUGUAAUGGUUUUAGAGUCAACUGGAGAAAGUGCAUUCAAGAUGAUGUUAGAUUUAUUAAAAUCCUUGUGGAAGUCUUCUACUAUUACCAUAGACCAAAUGAAAAGAGGUUAUGAGAGAAUUUAUAAUGAAAUUCCGGAUAUUAAUCUGGAUGUCCCACACUCAUACUCUGUGCUUGAGAGAUUUGUGGAGGAAUGUUUUCAGGCUGGAAUCAUUUCCAAACAACUCCGAGAUCUUUGUCCAUCAAGGGGAAGAAAGCGUUUUGUAAGUGAAGGAGAUGGAGGUCGUCUUAAACCUGAGAGCUACUGAGCACAGCAACUCUUACAGUCAGUCUUAGGUGUUACCAAGAACAGAUCUCAAUUGGAACGUAUUGAUUGCCCUUAAAUAUUAGACAGUUAAGUAAAUGGUGGCUGGAACAUCUAUUUUUCUACAAAACUGGAAAAACGAACCCGGUUCUACAAGAAUGUACAACAAAAUAAAACAUGUGAACACUGUC
rnacentral:lncRNA from 1 species